GAGAUGCAUGGGGUAGCCAAUCGGGUGUCGCCGUGCGCGCGCGCGCGUCUGGCCUCCUGCCCUCCCUUUCCUUGCUAAAUAAAGCAAGUAGCAGAUAGGGGAAAGUCUGCUCGCAAGUUGCAUCCGCCCUGCGCCAAGAAAAGCCAUCGUUCUUCCCACAAACGCACACAUAGAAGCAUCAUUCCCCUCUCGGCUAGCUUCUUCCUCUCUCUCCCUCCUCCUCCUCUUCCUCUUCCUCCUCCCUUGGGAAACCUGCUGCCUUUGAGCUUUCUUCUUCGAGAGCUCCCACCAGAUCUCCUCCUCCUUACCUUCUUUGGCACGUUCGGCGGCGCGCGCGGAGAAAGAUAGAUCCCGCCAUCGUCGUCGUCGGUCCUUGCUUCCGAUCGGAGGGCCACAACCACAACCUCUCGCUCCAUAGCGUGCAAGCGCGAGCCAGGGUCAAGAAGAGAGCUAGCUAGCUAUAGGCCGGAGAUCGAUGGGGAGGGGAAAGAUCGUGAUCCGCAGGAUCGAUAACUCCACGAGCCGGCAGGUGACCUUCUCCAAGCGCCGGAACGGGAUCUUCAAGAAGGCCAAGGAGCUCGCCAUCCUCUGCGAUGCGGAGGUCGGCCUCGUCAUCUUCUCCAGCACCGGCCGCCUCUACGAGUACUCUAGCACCAGCAUGAAAUCAGUUAUAGAUCGGUACGGCAAGGCCAAGGAAGAGCAGCAAGUCGUCGCAAAUCCCAACUCGGAGCUUAAGCCAUACCUCAUUUAUACGUUGUCCUCCGCCACUGUUCGGAAUACAUUCACUUAACUAGCACCAGGAACACUGUCCAUCCCUCUGCAGUACAGAACAGAUCAACGUACCCCUGGAUGUGUUUUUGGGUUCUAUAGUAUGCUCUAUAUAAAGUUCAUACAGUCAUACAUGUUUAGCUUAGAUAUUUAUCAUUAUAUGAGAACUGUGGCAUUAUUCUAUCCCAUUUGGUGAUGUUUUCAAGUUAGCAAAGCCUUAUUUAAAUAUACUUGAGCUAAUAGUUAGCUGCUAAAAUUAAUUGAAGGUAUCCAAACAGACUAGCUAGUUCAGCUAUUAGCUACUUUUAGACAAUUACCUAAUAGAUAGCUAAUUCCACUAGCAAUUCUUUUAGUCAACUAACUAUUAUGUCUAGUGCAUUCAAAUGGCCCUAAGUCAGCUAACUAUUAGCUAGCUAUAACUAUUAGGUCUAGUGCAUUUUAUUAGCUAGCUAAUUCUACUAUUAAUUUUUUAGUCAACUAACUAUUAGGUCUAGUGCAUUCAAAAGGCCCUAAAAGUAAGCUUCAAAAUCUUGUUGAUUUAGGUCUUACACAAUCUGGACUCGAAACAAAUGUUUUGGUUGGUCUUAAAAUUCUUUAGACUCUGUUUAAAUGCACUAGAUAUAAUAAUUAGAUGCUAAAAUUAGUUAGAAGUAUUCAAACAAUCUAGCUUAUAGUUUAGUUAUUACUCCCUCCGUUUCUUUUUAGUUGUCGCUGGAUAGUUUAAUUUUGCACUAUCCAGCGACAACUAAAACGAAACGGAGUGAGUACAUAUUUUUAGUAAAUUAGCUAAUAGCUAGCAAAUUUUUUUAGUCAAUAAACUAUUAGCUCAUGCAUUACAAUAAUCCAUGACUAAUAAUAACAGACAAAUGUUCUGUCCCUUUUUGGUCUGGCCCACUCUAUUCUACUAGAUCAAUUAUUCUGUCGCUCGUUUCCUAUGCACAUGUUCGUGUCGACCUUCUCCUCACAACGCCAAAAAACGUAUCUUCGUUUUACCGGGUCGUCGGCGCUCCUCAGCGAAUAUAUGCAUGAUUAAUUGCUGUCUUGAGCUCGUUCUUUGUGUACAUGUGCUGCUGAAGUGCGAAGUCAAGCAACAAGCAAGUGGAAUUGUUCCGAAAUCAAAUCAAGCAUCAUGAUUUAUGAAUGAACCGUUUUGCAAUAACCGUGAGACUUUAGCUGCAGGAAGUGAGGAACGCGGGAACAUAUAGGCUUAUUCGCAAGUGAAACGGAGGUGGUAUUGGGAAGCUAAAUUAUUCUUGAGACAGCCUACGGAUACUAAAAUUUGCUAUGCCUAAGUUUUUGCUGAUAAAAACUAUCAGUCUACUACAGAUUUGUCAAGCCAAAUGUAGAGGUUGGUAAAUUAUGGUACCAAAUUUGAGGCUUUCUUUAGAAUGGGGGAUUUUUAGAGGAAAAAACAAACAGGGUUCAGCAAUCCAGGACCAGGACUAUAACAGUGUAGAUGUUCUUUUAGAGUUUCUUUGGAAUGGAGAAUUUUUACAGACUAGAACAGGAUUCAGCAAUCCAGGAUUAUGACAGUGUAGAUGUUUUUUGUUUGUUAAAGAGGAUCUCAGGAAAACUAAAGGAAUACUGUUGGAAUGGAGGGUAGCAUUUCUCUUUCCGUUUCUCAUGAACAUUUGAUAGCUUUUUUCUCAUGAAUAUUUGCUAGUUUUUUUCCCGUUGCAACGCAGGCAUGUUUGCUAGUCAUUAGUAAUAAAACAUCAAUGCAUCUUAUUUACAUGUUCUCAAAUCAAAAUUUACAUGUUGGUGACUAGGAAUCCUUAACACACCAGUUAGCCUUUUCACAGAAGUUAAUUAGGAGAUCCAACAGAGAACAGUGUGUCUUACGAACUUGAAUUCUACUGCUGUAUGUUAUCUGGAACUCAUAUUGCAUCACGAAAACAAUAUGUCAGCAGAUGCUUUAUCCAGUAAAUGUUAGGAAUUCUUUUUGCCACUUCAGUUGUGUCACAUGACACUGGAUUGUCAGAAUUCUAGUGCUGUUGCAGAACAUCCCAUGAACUCCGAAGUACCAGGCCGCAGGCCGUAUAGUUUACAUGCCAGAAGCUGCCCUCAAAUAUACCAGUCGUCUUCUACAACCUUGCAAAAAAAAAAAGAACGUAGAAUAAAACUGUGUAUGCCAAUCCAGCCGGUUGAUUGUGCUCUAAAAUAUACGUAGCAGUGAAAUUAAGUUGGAACAGGUCCAAGCUCUACUAACAUCAAAGGUUGUCGUAGAAUAGAUACUGAACACUCUGAACACGUAACGGUAGAAGAACCAGCAUUGACUAAUUGACUAAAAGGCACUCGGCACCCUUCAAAUCAUAAAAUCAGGAGAUCAUUUACUUAUACUGACAUGUUCUUGUAAGAAUUAGCACUCGCCUUGUUAUGACUUCAUGAAGUCUGCUUGCAACAUCCUAACACAACAGUACCCGCUGUAAUAUCGUACCGUACUGCUUGUUUAUCCAGAAAGUAAACGAAGGCGCAUUAAAAUAGCCUCCACGUUGCAAAAUUGGACAUGUCAGAUUGCAAUUUCUAGUUCUAGUAAUAAAUAUUGUUCCCUCUUAGUUUUGUACUCUUUCCAUUCCAAUUUAUAAGAUGUUUUGGCUUUUCUAGACAUUAAUUUUUGCCAUGCACUUAGAUAUAUACCAUGUCUAGAUGCGUAGUAAAAUCAAUGUAUCUAGAAAACCCAAAGCACCUCAUAAUACCUAAAACAUCUUAUAAUUUGGUAUGAAUGAAGUACCUAAGAGCUGCUGUGUGUAAUUGUGUAUCAUGCUGCAAGAUUCCAACUAAACGUCAUGUCUUACCAACAUAUACCAGUUAAAAUCUGUGCCAAUGUGUUCAUUGAUAACAUAACCUGUUUCUUCAUAGUUUUGGCAAAGGGAGGCAGCAAGCUUGAGACAACAACUGCACAACUUGCAAGAAAAUUAUCGGCAGUUGACGGGAGAUGAUCUUUCUGGGCUGAAUGUCAAAGAACUGCAGUCCCUGGAGAAUCAAUUGGAAACAAGCCUGCGUGGUGUCCGCGCAAAGAAGGACCAUCUCUUGAUAGAUGAGAUUCACGAUUUGAAUCGAAAGGCAAGUUUAUUUCACCAAGAAAAUACAGACUUGUACAAUAAGAUCAACCUGAUUCGCCAAGAAAAUGAUGAGUUACAUAAAAAGAUAUAUGAGACUGAAGGACCAAGUGGAGUUAAUCGGGAGUCACCGACUCCAUUCAACUUUGCAGUAGUAGAAACCAGAGAUGUUCCUGUGCAACUUGAACUCAGCACACUGCCACAGCAAAAUAACAUUGAGCCAUCUACUGCUCCUAAGCUAGGAUUGCAAUUAAUUCCAUGAAGAAGAGUAAAACUGCCGUCUUAUGAUGCUGAAGGAAACUAUUUAUUGUGAAGAGAUGAUACUCAGAGAAAGACAUAUUUGUGGCAGGGAGAUUUGAGAUAUGAACUUAUAAAUGUAAUGCAAAUAAUUUUCAGACCGGAAUGGGGUCGUGGAAUUCAGAGGAUGAUUGCUUUCUAGUUGCAUUUGAUGUUUGAUGAGACUUUUCUCAUGUGAAACGUUUAUUAAAACUUCAAAAUGGUGCAGAUGUUGCUACUACACUUGUUAGGCUUGUAUAAAUAUCUGACCAUGUGUACUAGCAUUACGAAAACAGAAAAGAAGACAGACAGCCCUGUCGAACA